AAAUGUCCCUAAGUUCCAGCAACAUUGAAGGUUUCCUAUGCAUUUUAGGACACAAAUUAAGGGUUCCUUGUACCAUAACAUACCUUUGCCGUGCACUUCAUCCAUGUUUAAUUCUUGCAUCAAUCAUCACUUCACUUUCUGAUAGGAGCAUAUUUAUGCGCCUUAGUUAGCUAGUUCUUAUGCAUUUAUGUUGUGUUUUCUUAGUUAAGUUAGUCUUUUAAGCUAUUUUCAUGUGUUUUCAGGUUUUAAGGACAAAGUAAGCAAAAAGAUGCUAAUUGGAGCAUUUUGGAGCAAAAUUGAGCUAGAAUGGAGCUCAUGCAUGUGGGAGCACAAAGAGUGGACGAAUUUGAAGGAUUGAAGAAGCUUGGAAUGUGUUUCAAAGUUGAAGAAUUGAAGAUGCAAAGUUUCCUAAUUGAAGUAGGAAAGUGCUUAAUUGAAGAUGAAAUCCUAGUCAACAAUGGAUUCCUAGUUGAAGAAUGAUUCCUAGUUGAAGUUGGAUUUCUAGAAGAUUGAAGAUUCCUACUCAAACAAGGUUUCCUACUUGAAGAAGGGAAGUUAAAGCCAAAGAAUCAGCUUAAGUGAAGAAACCUUAUCCAAAACAUUAUCCAUAACCUUAUCUUAGCUUAUCUUAUCCAAACAAACCUUAUCCUAUCCUAUCUUAACCUAAUCCUAAUCCACCUAUAUUUCAGCUGGGAGGGAGGAUUCCUAACUAUAUUAGGAUGCUUAAAAUCAGAUUUCUAGAAGACCUAAUCCUUUCCUACAAAGGUGGCGCCUAGAACCUUUCUAGAAGACCUUUGCCUUGCAUUGCAAUUCAGCCACUUUCCCUCCAAUUCUUGCCGUGAGUUUUCACCCAAUUCCCUUGGGAUUUUGGUUUCUAGAAGCCCUUAUCCUUUCCUAGUUUCUAGAAGCCCUUAUCCUUUCCUAGUUUAAUGCCGUACCUUAUCCUCCCAUUCCCUCUGGAUUUCUGAUUUGUUUUCCUUCAAGGAUUGUGUGUUAUUUUCCUAUGCAAAUUAGGCCUUUAAAUCCUUUUCCUUUGCUACCUAAGGGCUGUGAUUUUCAGCCUAUAAAUACAACCCUUUGCCGCACGAAUUGAUUACGACCCUCUACCAUAUUUUCACUACACCAUUCACCCAAACAUCCCUCUUGUGCCGUGAGUUUGCAAAGGAGAAGGAAGGAGACUCUUGGAGCCGUGCAUGCCAUUCAAGGAGCUUGGAUUGUUGGAGCGUUUCUAGGUGUUUUCUAUCUUUAUGUCAAUGUUUAAAUUUAUUUAUCUUUGUUUAUUUGUGAACAUGAGGAACUAAUUUCUUUAUAGUUAGAGGGGAAUUCAAAGCCAUGAUCAUAUGUUUUAUAUGACUUG
rnacentral:lncRNA from 1 species